AUCCUCAAUUACAAAUUCUCGAAAAAUAAUAACCGAUAAAACCAUUUUUGUUACUAUUAAGUUAUUGUAAACAAACUUUGAGACUUACAAGUCUUGUCGAAACUCGCACUGCACGUACACACCACAUCACCACAAGAUAUGUAAUCAUUUUAGAUACUAAUCGAUGCUUAGUGAACUUUUUAAAGACGGCUUUAGCCUUUCCAUUGAUCUCUCGUGUUCCUGUGCAUGUAGAUUUGAUAAAGCUCGUUGUUUUCGCUCGUUCCCUUUAGUUUGAGUCUAGAUACCCUAGGCCCGGGAGUGUGUGCCGAAACACUUGGUCGGUGCCCCACAAGUUGUAUAUUUUUUUGAAUCAUGUUUAUCAAUCCAAAACCAUGUCGCAUUGUUAAGGACUCGUAAGUGACGAGUUAAGUUAUUUAACCUAACUUAAUUCAAUUUCUUAAUCUCAAUUCAAUUUCUUAUUGUUGAUUUAAAAGUCGAUUUGAAAAUCAUUUCAAUGGCUAAUUUUUUCAGUACUGUAUUUUUGUCUACAGACAACUUUACUUCUUGUUGUUAUUGUCUAUUGGUUUUGGCUUCUCAUAUCUAAACAUUUUCCCAAUCAUAUCACUAUGCACAUUCGUUUUUUGUAUAUAAACUUGUAACUGUCAUUGGAGGCAAUUUUUAAAUAAAUGCUUUGCAAAUAAAGCUAAAAACGCAUAUAAGUACUAUUGUGUUCUGUGAUAUGGCUAUAAUUAAUUAUGUGAGUUAAAGAUUCAUUGUCAGCCACGCCUUUGUUAUUGUUUUCAUUUAAUAUUGGAAGGCACAAUGUAUUAAAAUCUCAAAAUAACUUUCUAAAAAGGUUUUAAGAGAGGUUUUAUUAGAACCUUGAGCAGUCCACAGCCAAAAAUCAUGUACCAAAAUAAUAUUAAUAGUUUUACAUAGCUUACAUAGCUAUAUAUGUUGAAAUUAAACACGAAGGCACGGCAUAAAUGGCCGCUUCCUAGGGAAGCAUUGGCUUAUUUGUCAAUCAACCGCCAUGGAGUGUGGAUCAAAUUCAAGAUGGCGGCCCAAGUCAAGUACAAAACACAGAGGGGAGAGGUUUCAAAGCGCUUCCUGAUGUAUAAAAAUGCCAAUUCUACCUUCUAGUCCUAUAGAAUGUGUAAAAAAGAAAACUCAGUAGAAAUAAAGCUACGAGACCAUCGCGAUUUACUAAAAAAAAAUGAGCAAACGCAUGACCAGAAAACAAUGAUUUCAAACCUCGAAAAAAGCUAUACCCAAGAAGCAAGUCAUGGUGACAUCUGAAUUAUCAACAAGAUAUAUUCCUCAAGAAAAAGCAAUACACCAAAAACUGGAAAUCGACUAUGGCAAAUUUUCGUCUUUAAUAAGACUUCUUCAGGGCAGACUUCAAGUCUUAUUAAAGACAAAAAUUUGGCAGAGUCGACUUCCAGUUUUUUGUGUAUUGUAUUCAUUGUUCUGGUACGAGAUCGCGACAGUUUGGGCUUUUUGAUUCUAUUCCUCAAGAAAAAGCAGAUACAUAGACAUAUACAGUAUUAAAUUUUCCCUGUGAUUUUAAAUCACAAACAUUCCUUUAUAAAGGAAACAUGUUCCAUUGCUAUCAAAUUGAUUUAUGUGUUACUGAAGUGUUAAGCUACCAGUCAUAUUUUAUAAACUGCAUUAUAAAUUAUACUUUUGAAUAAACCAAAAUGCCUUGUCUUUUAUCCAUUAAGUUCAAGACUUCUCAUUCUUACAGUAAAAGCAAGUAUAGAUACAGGAGGCAUAUAUCCAUUGAAUCAAAACAGUAAAAGUCAUGUAUCUAUUUUGUAUACUUUAACUUAUAAAGUAUAAAACAUAUGUUUGGGCAACCCUUUUAUAAAACUAAGGAUCCAGACCCUUUUUCGAAAAAUAGAAACACAAAGCUAAUUCAAUUGUUAUUAUUUGUAGUCAUUCGUAAUCAUCAUAGAUACAGAUGCAUUCUGAUCCAAAAAGUAGAAAGAUAGACUCAAUUAUGGCUCCAACCCAAUAAGAUGGAUAUCAGGCAUUUCUUUAGUAGCCCUUCAGUUGUUUGGUGUACAUAUAUGUGUAAGUAUACAAGCUGAGACAUUGUACAAAGGGUUUUCUGCUGUUUCUGUGAGCCAGUUAUGCAUUAUAAAAACAAAUAUUGAAACAAAUGUUUUCUUUUAUUGUAUACCACUCCCUUGUUUUGUACAUACAAAUAGUAAGUUUUGCAUUUUAUUUGGAUGGUACUAAGCCCUACUUUUAACCCUACAUCUGGUAAAUUAGCACGAUGGCACAAUGGUCUAAUGACCAAGUGCUCUCAAAGAAAUCAAGUUGACUGCACUAUACUCCCUAUUCAAACAGGUGUACAUAAUAAAUGACAGACAGGGUGAGGGUAAGUUGACAAAUUCCCUUAGCCAUUCUUUAAUUUCUGAAUCAAGAAGUCUGGAACUAACAGCAGGAUGGCACCAGAGAAAGGACCCAAGGUAAUGACCACCCUAGAUAAUGUAAUAUCAGAGUUUAACUUGCACAUUCCCUGGAUGCCGCUUGGAUAUCUUAUGAAACUGGGGUCAGUUGCUGAAGCCUGAUCAUGGUAAAACACGUAUUGAUCAACUAAUUUGGUAAAAAGAUAAUGAAGAUAAGUCUUGACAAAUUGACUUUCUGUCAAAGUAGAAGUCAACUGGGGUUCAACAUCCCCUGACCUGCCCACUACACCAAAUUUUCUUCCUGCUCAGGUAAAUGUCAAAACACUUUCUGGAUAUUUGGUUAAUUCUUAAACAUAUGUACAACAGCAGAUAGGCACAAUUUGCAUUUUUGUUUUACACCUGUUGCAGCAACAAGUAGAAAUAAUGGUUUCACUAGAAUAAGUUUUAAGUUACACUUUUAAGUGUCCUCUUACACUACAGCUGUAUCUUGACUUUAUACCUGAUGUUUGCUGCUUAUGUUUAGUUCUAAUGUCCUACUUUGUUGUGUGCUAUUUUAGUACAGAACUUACAAAAACACAGAUUAUUUUCUGCACUAUCUAUUCGUCCUGUCUUCCUUUCCUCUUUUCCCCAUUUUAGGUUCUUUUUAGAGUACAAUGCUCUUCAUUAAUUGAAAUACGGAAACUAUGGGCCAAGAAAAGUGCGAAGAAAUUAGGCAAAAUCGCUCAACGAAACAUGUUUUCUAAACAUGCUAAGAAUGGCAAAAUUUAGCUCUGCUUGCACGCAUAAUCCUUUAGGAUAGACUACUAAGCAAUAACUGUGGUCAUUGCGGGCCCAAGCUCACCAAAUCCUUCCCUAGGAGGGUCGGGAAGGUAAGCAUACCAAAGAUAGCUUCGAAGGGAAAGGCAGGAGAUUUGAAAUGGCGCCGUAAAUGUACGAACUUUAAGACAAAUAUGCAUUUCUCGCUGCCAAGAAAGGUUUGAAUUACAAAUCAAACAUAUCUUUUCUUUCAUUUGGAAAAUAUUUAAUUUGUUUGAUAUCAAAUCAUUAGAUUUGGGGGCAUUCUUUCUUGACUGGGCUCGUAUCGGUAAUGGCCACCAUAUUGGAAUUUCUCUCCAUUUGGGAAAUAGGAGCGGGGCUAAGGCCCUUUUAUACCCCACCUUCGUGUUUAAGUCAAUAUUGUUUGCAACACCAUGAAAAACAUUGUUAGAAAUUUUGAGAAAUUAUUAUAAAGUAUAGCAUGGCAUGAGGGGAAUUUAGUGAUUAAAUGUCCCAGCAACCGAGGGAUGAUUAGUUGAAGUCCCGAUGCCGCAGGCGAACACAGUACAAUGGAUCAGGGCAGUGUUCUUUUCAUCCCUCCAGAGAGCACUACAUUUUCACAGACAAUUAUCAAAUCAAACAUAGUUGAUUUACAUAGUUGCUCUACACAGUUUAGUUGUUUGACGUCAUUAAUAGCAUGCAUGCAUACAGCAAUCAAAAUCAUGCCACAUGGAUCUAGUCUAACGUUGUAAGACUAGGUCAAAUACUCUGGUCUCUUGGCGCAGGGUCUAUUCCUGCGCUAAUCAGAAAGCUUCCUCUAUUUGUUUCCCUGGUGGAAACUAGAAGACAAGCAUCUUGGUUCUAAAUUUGCACUGAUGCAGAGAGAAAUUUAAAAGAUUCUUUUGUCUUUUUCUAAAUUUCACUCAUUAUUAUUGCAUGAUGGAAAUUUAGAAACUAAAUUUCCCUCAUCAUUAAUGCAGGAGGAAAAUUUAGAACCAUCUAUGUUUUCGAGGGAAUCUCGCUAGUAAUCUUCCCUCAGAAAACAAAAGAAUCCGAGGUGAUUAUGGUACAAGAAAUGCUAUAGAAUUGAAAUUGACCCCAAAAA